GCAACUCGCCUGCAUGAAGCUGGAAUUGCUAGUAAUCGCGGAUCAGCAAGCCGCGGUGAAUACGUUCCCGGGCCUUGUACACACCGCCCGUCACACCAUGAGAGUCGGGAACACCCGAAGUCCGUAGUCUAACCCGCAAGGGGGGCGCGGCCGAAGGUGGGUCCGGUAAUUGGGGUGAAGUCGUAACAAGGUAUC
rnacentral:rRNA from 1 species